GGUAAGAUGGCCGAAGCAAGCGGUGGAUUGUAGCCCCAUAUAUAGAGGUUUGAGUCCUCUUCUUACCA
rnacentral:tRNA from 2 species